rnacentral:rRNA from 1 species
AUUGAACGCUGGCGGCAGGCCUAACACAUGCAAGUCGAGCGGAUGAAGGGAGCUUGCUCCUGGAUUCAGCGGCGGACGGGUGAGUAAUGCCUAGGAAUCUGCCUGGUAGUGGGGGAUAACGUCCGGAAACGGGCGCUAAUACCGCAUACGUCCUGAGGGAGAAAGUGGGGGAUCUUCGGACCUCACGCUAUCAGAUGAGCCUAGGUCGGAUUAGCUAGUUGGUGGGGUAAAGGCCUACCAAGGCGACGAUCCGUAACUGGUCUGAGAGGAUGAUCAGUCAAACUGGAACUGAGAAAGGGUCCAGACUCCCAGGGGAGGCAGGAGGGGGGAAUAUGGGAAAAGGGGCGAAAGCCUGAUCCAGCCAGGCCGGGGGGGGGAAGAAGGGCUGCGGUUUGUAAAGCCCUUUAAGGUGGGAGGAAGGGCAGUAAGUUAAAACCUUGCUGUUUGGACGUUACCAACAAAAUAAGCACCGGCUAACUUCGG